CCGUUCUGGAAGUUGUUUCGUGAGAGAGCUUCGGCGACGUGGUGCUGAUGGGGAGUUGGAGAUAAUUUUGCUUUCUUCAAGAUGUAAAUACUUCGAGUGUGUACAACAUGCUACUGGUGUAAGUACAAGUGUGCAGCAAUUAAAGGAGGAUGGAUGAAGUUCCAUGGACAUGGAUUUUCGAAAGGCCAGACGCUGAUCUUAUUAAGAUGGAGAAGAAGAGUAGCACAACAACUUCGAGGUGGAGCAAGCAUCAAAAAGGUGCCGGUAGUCCCAGACAUGCCUGGGAAGCGACUCUAAAUGGUAGUGACCCUGCUGGCUACCCGUCAAGGACAUGGAUUUUGCCAAUAUUGUCGAGUUUUAGAUUGGGCAUGUCUUGGUUGCUGAAUAUUUGCUUUGAUUGCUUAUGUCCAGGGUAAUCUAUCA